rnacentral:rRNA from 1 species
AGUGAACGCUGGCGGUAGGCCUAACACAUGCAAGUCGAACGGCAGCACAGUAAGAGCUUGCUCUUACGGGUGGCGAGUGGCGGACGGGUGAGGAAUACAUCGGAAUCUACUUUUUCGUGGGGGAUAACGUAGGGAAACUUACGCUAAUACCGCAUACGACCUACGGGUGAAAGCAGGGGAUCUUCAGACCUUGCGCGAUUGAAUGAGCCGAUGUCGGAUUAGCUAGUUGGCGGGGUAACGGCCCACCAAGGCGACGAUCCGUAGCUGGUCUGAGAGGAUGAUCAGCCACACUGGAACUGAGACACGGUCCAGACUCCUACGGGAGGCAGCAGUGGGGAAUAUUGGACAAUGGGCGCAAGCCUGAUCCAGCCAUACCGCGUGGGUGAAGAAGGCCUUCGGGUUGUAAAGCCCUUUUGUUGGGAAAGAAAAGCAGCAGGUUAAUACCCCGCUGUUCUGACGGUACCCAAAGAAUAAGCACCGGCUAACUUCGUG